rnacentral:snRNA from 1 species
CGUGAACCAUCUCAGUGGCAA